GAAAAAGAAAGAAAAUAUUUUCCGUGUCCCCGCCUGCAGAGUCAGUGUGCGGUUUGGGAGAAAAUGUGUCGGAUAUUUUGGGGCGGUCACGUGGGCGGGCGGGCUCCGAGAGGCCCCGGGACAGUCCCAGCCUAGAGCCGUGCCCCCCCAGGAGCCCCCCAGUACGGCGAGCCCCGGACAUUGCGACGCUCCAUCCAAGAGACUGCCCGACGCCGGGACCUCGGGGCUCCGCCGCCUCCCUUCCCCCUCCCACUCCAGCUACGGCCCAGUUCCCUCAACCUGACCCAGUAUGUAGAAGCCAGUCUCUGCAGGCGGCCAGCCGCCACGACAGAACCAAGGCUCAGAAAUGGGAGGAAUCUCUACCCCCUUCCUCUCUUCACUCAACUCCCAAGUCCCUUCUCUGAGGCAAAAUAAGAGGAAGGCCAAGGACAACUCUCAUUGGCUCACAUGCAGCAUCAUUCCUUGGACUUUUGGAGGCCCAGUGGGCAGGCCAGGCAGGGCGGGUACGGAGCCUCCCAGGCUGGGGCAGUGGGCAUGGGCAGGGGCUGUGGCUGA
rnacentral:sRNA from 1 species